ACCUACGGGGGGCAGCAGUAGGGAAUUUUCGUCAAUGGGCGCAAGCCUGAACGAGCAAUGCCGCGUGAACGAGGAAGGUCGUCGGAUCGUAAAGUUCUGUUGAAGGGGAAAAAGAGCGGAGAGAGGAAAUGCUUUCUGAUUGAUAUUACCCUUCGAGGAAGUCACGGCUAACUACGUGCCAGCAGCCGCGGUAAUACGUAGGUGGCGAGCGUUAUCCGGAAUGAUUGGGCGUAAAGGGUGCGUAGGCGGCCUGCUAAGUCUGGAGUGAAAGGUACCGGCUCAACCGGUACAGGCUCUGGAAACUG
rnacentral:rRNA from 1 species